rnacentral:rRNA from 1 species
UCGAGAGGCUUCGGCAAUGGGGGAAACCCUGACCGAGCGACGUCGCGUGGGUGAUGAAGAUCUUCGGAUCGUAAAACCCUGUCAGGUGGGAUGAAAUGUCACAUGGUGAAUAACCACGUGGCUUGACAGUACCACCAGAGGAAGCUCCGGCCAACUCCGUGCCAGCAGCCGCGGUAACACGGGGGGAGCAAGCGUUGUUCGGAAUCAUUGGGCGUAAAGGGCUCGUAGGCGGCUCCGUAAGUCGGGGGUGAAAGGCCAUGGCUCAACCAUGGACACGCCUCUGAAACUACGGAUCUUGGGAUCGGGAGAGGAAAGUGGAAUUCCUGGAGUAGCGGUGAAAUGCGUAGAUAUCAGGAGGAACACCAGUGGCGAAGGCGGCUUUCUGGCCCGAUUCUGACGCUGAGGAGCGAAAGCCAGGGGAGCAAACGGGAUUAGAUACCCCGGUAGUCCUGGCCCUAAACGAUGGGCACUAGGUGUGGGAAGUUCGACCCUUUCCGUGCCGCAGUUAACGCAUUAAGUGCCCCGCCUGGGAAGUACGGCCGCAAGGUUG